UGGGGAAUAUUGCACAAUGGAGGGAACUCUGAUGCAGCGACGCCUCGUGAACGAAGAAGGCUUUCGAGUCGUAAAGUUCUUUUAUAUGGGAAGAUAAUGACGGUACCAUAAGAAAAAGCCCCGGCUAACUACGUGCCAGCAGCCGCGGUAAUACGUAGGGGGCUAGCGUUUUCCGGAAUCACUGGGCGUAAAGGGUUCGCAGGCGGAAAUGCAAGUCAGGUGUAAAAGGCAGUAGCUUAACUACUGUAAGCAUUUGAAACUGCAUAUCUUGAGAAGAGUAGAGGUAAGUGGAAUUUUUAGUGUAGCGGUGAAGUGAGUAGAUAUUAAAAAGAAUACCGGUGGCGAAGGCGACUUACUGGGCUCAUUCUGACGCUGAGGAACGAAAGCGUGGGUAGCAAACAGG
rnacentral:rRNA from 1 species